AUUGAACGCUGGCGGCAGGCCUAACACAUGCAAGUCGAACGAGUGGCGGACGGGUGAGUAAUGUCUGUGAUACUGCCUGUUGGAGGGGGCUAACUUCUGGAAACGGUAGUUAAUACCGCUUACCAUCGUAUGUGCCCAGAUGGGCUUCGCUAGUAGGUGGGGUAAAGGCGCACCUAGGCGACGAUCCAUAGCUGGUCUGAGAGGAUGACCAGCAACAGGGGAGAGAAGACACGGACCAGAAUCGUAAGGGAGGCAGCAGUGGGAAAGAGUGCACAAGGGGCGCAAGGCAGAGGCAGCCAGGCCGGGUGUGUGAAGAAGGCCUUCGGGUUGUAGAGGACGAUCAGCGAGGAGGCGUUACUCGAAGAAGAAGCACCGGCUAACUCCGUGCCAGCAGCCGCGGUAAUUC
rnacentral:rRNA from 1 species